rnacentral:rRNA from 1 species
AUGGCCGCGGGAUUGGCAGCAGUGAGGAAUAUUGGUCAAUGGGCGUAAGCCUGAACCAGCCAAGUAGCGUGCAGGAUGACGGCCCUAUGGGUUGUAAACUGCUUUUAUGCGGGGAUAAAGUGGCCCACGUGUGGGCUUUUGCAGGUACCGCAUGAAUAAGGACCGGCUAAUUCCGUGCCAGCAGCCGCGGUAAUACGGAAGGUCCGGGCGUUAUCCGGAUUUAUUGGGUUUAAAGGGAGCGUAGGCCGUGGAUUAAGCGUGUUGUGAAAUGCAGGUGCUCAACGUCUGCACUGCAGCGCGAACUGGUCCACUUGAGUGUGCACAACGCAGGCGGAAUUCGUCGUGUAGCGGUGAAAUGCUUAGAUAUGACGAAGAACUCCGAUUGCGAAGGCAGCCUGCGGGAGCACAACUGACGCUGAAGCUCGAAAGUGCGGGUAUCGAACAGGAUUAGAUACCCUGGUAGUCCGCACGGUAAACGAUGGAUGCCCGUUGUCAGGCUGUUUCAGCCUGGUGACCAAGCGAAAGCAUUAAGCAUCCCACCUGGGGAGUACGCCGGCAACGGUGAAACUCAAAGGAAUUGACGGC